GGUUGUGUAGUGUAGUGGUUAUCACUCUGGAUUUUGACAUGGGCGCCGCAAGUUGGCGCCCCGCUUUCAAGUCUUCCAGUAACCCCGGUUCGAACCCGGGCAUGACCU